GCUUGAACCAGCGGCCAACACGGCAGUCGAUUUGACUAAAUUUAUAGUGGACGAGUACUGGCACUGGCUAACUUUACGAAAACACAGAAAUACACUUAUGAAGCACCAAAAAAUCGAAAAUGAAUUUUGAAAUAGAUGCCAUCAUCAUUUA